rnacentral:misc_RNA from 1 species
GGCGGCGGCGGCGGCGGCC